GGUCCCGUAGCCUCGAGUUUACGCUUUCGCUUCGUAAGCGGAAGGUCAUGGGUUCGAUUCCCAAUAGGGUCCU
rfam:Aedes aegypti strain Liverpool supercont1.379 genomic scaffold, whole genome shotgun sequence.